rnacentral:rRNA from 1 species
GUAAGGAAUAUUGGUCAAUGGACGAAAGUCUGAACCAGCCAUGCCGCGUGGAGGAUGAAGGCCCUCUGGGUUGUAAACUUCUUUUAUCUGGGACGAAAAAAGGGUAUUCUUACUCACUUGACGGUACCAGAGGAAUAAGCACCGGCUAACUCCGUUCCAGCAGCCGCGGUAAUACGGAGGGUGCAAGCGUUAUCCGGAUUCACUGGGUUUAAAGGGUGCGUAGGUGGGUAUUUAAGUCAGUGGUGAAAUCUCCGAGCUUAACUCGGAAACUGCCAUUGAUACUAUUUACCUUGAAUGCCCUGGAGGUAAGCGGAAUAUGUCAUGUAGCGGUGAAAUGCUUAGAUAUGACAUAGAACACCAAUUGCGAAGGCAGCUUACUACGGGGUGAUUGACACUGAGGCACGAAAGCGUGGGGAGCAAACAGGAUUAGAAACCCUGGUAGUCC